GGGAGUAUGGCUCAGUGGAAGAGCAUUUGACUGCUAAUCGAAAGGUCCCCGAUUCAAACCCGGGUGUUCUCU